GUGCCAAAAUUCGCCACUUUUCUAACCCGUUUGAUUAAGAAACGGCGUAAAAAACGCCGUUUAAUUAUUCAAAACGCCGAAAAAAACGGCGUUCUGUUUCGACAAACGCCGUUUUUUCCGACUCUCACAUGGCGCCCUGAACGCACCAUCCGAGUGACGUAAAAAGCGGCGUUCAAAGACAGACGGAAACGCCGUUUUUUCCGCCACUCGGCAGAAAACGCCGUUCAAAGAUGCAUAAAAACGGCGUUUUUUACGGCGUUCUGUGCCAGCUGUAACGGCGUUUAAAACGGCGUUUUAUUGAAAUUAUGCAGGGCACUCCCCAUGGUUCCCUCAUCCAAUUACUUUCAACUCAUUUCACCCAAUCAAAGAAGAGGAAGUGCAGACCACACUAAUGCAUCACCGAUUCACCUUGCUGCUAAGUGAUUGCCUAUUCAGUACCAGUGCUUGUUACCCACUAUGCAUUUUGAUGUGUUUAAAGCAUGAUGAAACAAGCAAACGACGGAAUGCUUUUUCUGUAACAAGACCUUAACUUUGUGGCGCAUGGGUCGCUUGUUUACUUGAGGGAUCAGCUAUUAGCGCUGCGCUACCGCAGUGUAGCAUUAUGAUGCUAACGGAGUCCUGGCUAACACCGCAAACUCCGGACAUGAGUGUGGAGCUGCCGGUUUCCAGAUGCUGCGGGCGGACAGGACGAGAGACAGCGGUGAGAGGAAAGGAGGGGGGCUGGCAGUGUUUGUUAAAGACAGUUGUGGGACCCCUGGGCACAUUGCUGUCAAAGAACAACUCUGCAACAACACAGACAUUGAGCUAUUAGCCAUUAGCAUCCGUGGAGGCAGCCUGUGACUCUCUGUGGUCCGCAGACUGCAAACGCAAUCUCCAAGAGCUCUUCUUCUAAUAUCAGGGGACUUUCAUCAUGUCUCGCUGGACUCCACACUGCCCACCUUCAACCAGUAUGUGACCUGCCCCAUCGUAGUCAAUAAAACAUUGUACUUAAUGUAUGCCAAUGAAAAAGUGGCAUACAGUUCAUCACCUCCCUGCCCAGGGAAGAUCUGAUCGUAACCUAGUGUGCCUUGUCCCUGUGUGCAGCACUUAGUGUGCACGGAGCCACUAAUCACCCACGCAGUGCAGAGAUGCUUCGCGGAGGGCAUAAUCAAGCAAAUAAAUGACAGAAUGCUUUUUAUUUCAUGUCGACGUGCAAUUUAUGUAUAGUUGACCGGGAAAUUAAAGCAGCGAUCACUUGGACUAUUCCGUAGCACCCCUUUCACAGUGGUACAUCCCUCCAGGUAACCAUUCACCAGUCUUGUACAGUAGAGCGGGACAUUACGUUUACUCUCAGCGGAAUUCACCCGAGAAGGCAUCAGUUCCUGCACUGCACUGGUCUUCACCACGAUUAGUAUAAGGUGGAGUAAUGCACGAAUGGAUAAAAAGGAGUGAGAGGUUAUCAGCUGUUGAGGAGCAAAUGGAGAUCCGUGUCCAGGGGAGUGAGGCUAUUGCGAGUGUGAAAGGUUGUCCAGGAAGUAACUAAGAAGACAUGAACAGAGAGGUGGUGAUCCUCGGUGGAGUGAUGAAGUAGAGCAGCCAGCACCCCAAGUAGAGCAGGCACUGUGGAAAAAUAGUUGUGACUCAACCAGACCAUUACAAAGUAUGGCCUGGAGGAUUUUCAUCUCAAGGUGCAAGAACAUUCUUAAUGACUGUACACGGCAGCUGCUGAUGGACGAUGUUGGGCCAGAUGUGCUACAGUUAGCGUUAAGGAGGUUGGAGACAAUGCAGAGAAGCCUUCAGUGGGCAAGAGGAAGACUGAUCAAUGUAACUGCAGCAGAUCAACUUCUGCGUGACUUGGCUGAAUUGAUUCAGGAUGUCGAACUGUCUACUCAGCAUGGGCAACAAGGCUGUUUUGGAUACCAGGCACCAGUGGUUUUCAACAGAGGUAGAGGUAGAUCCCUUUACCUUAUCACUCGGGAACAGCUUUCAUUCCUGAAGUCAUGUGGAUUCACUGCACCUCAGAUGGCUGAUAUUUUGAGUGUUUCACUUCGUACAAUUUGAAGACGUCUGCGACAGUAUCAUUUCACCCGUGCAUCAAUGUAUGCGGAACUGACUGACAGUGCCUUGGAUGAACAUGUGCAGGACAUUGUCGCUGGCAAUGAACAAACUGGUCCUGAGGCUGUCAGAGCCUCCCUGCGAGUACGUGGACUACGUGUACAGCGAAGGAGGGUUUGAGCAAGCAUGUUACGGAUGAAUCCUGGAGCAGCUGCCCUUAGAGCAGUUUUGCGGAGACCAGAACGAAGAACAUAUCAGGUUGCAGGUCCAAACUCAUUGUGGCACAUUGCUGGAAAUCACAAGCUGAUAAGGUGGAGGAUAGUCAUUGAUGGGGCUAUUGAUGGAUACAGUCGUCUUGUGGUCUUCCUUCAUGCCUCAAACAACAACCGUAGCAGUACCGUUUUAUCAAGUUUCAUCAGACCCGUGGUAUCCUAUGGUGUACCCUGGAGGGUCCGGACAGACAGAGGUGGGGAAAACAAUGCUGUCUGCCUGAUGAUGAACAUUUUCAGAGGCUUUGAUCGUGGAAGUGCCCUAAGAGGAAGGAGUACCCAUAAUCAGAGAACUGAGAGGCUCUGAGGUGAUCUGUGGCGAGGAAUGACCAAUGUCUACUGUGACUUAUUUCACCACCUGGAGGAGGAAGGCAUCAUUGACAUUGACAAUGAAAUGCACCUUUGGGCUCUCCAUUACAUCUAUCUCCCAAGGAUCAACAGAGAUUUGAAAGACUUCACUCAACAGUGGAACAAUCAUGGCUUGCGGACAGAGAGACACUUGAGCCCAUUACAGAUUUUUGUCCGAGGCAGCCUCCUGGUAGAACUAUGUAAUCCACUAAGUGGCACCAGAGGGAGUCAUGGUAUUGAACUCAUCACUGGCUUAAUAUACUUUCUGGACUCCACAUAUCACUGAGACAGUUCAAUUAUUGACUGAAACAUAAUAGCAGCAAGUGGAAAGACUUCAAAAUAUCUAGGUGACUGGAUACAUAUAAUGUGAAAAGUUAUAAUACGUGUUUACUAUGUACCAUUGAGUAGUGGAGAUACAAGAACGAGCUGUGUGACACUGACAAUAAAAAAUGUUGAGUGAUUUUUAAAGUGUGUAAGAUGGAAGUUGUGAAAUGGAAAGUUUACAACUGAAACUGAAUCUCGAUAAAGUCAACUUGAUCUAAAAGUUACAGCUGUUGAUUUUGAUAAAUACAACUAUAAAGCAGUGACAGUAAAUAAUUAAAAAAUAAAGUGGCUCAGUAUAGUGUGGUAGAUAUAAAGUGGUUUAGCGUGUGUUUGAUGUUGUGACAGUUCACAGCAGAGAAAAAGUGUUAACAUUAUUGAGCACAUUAUGUUUUGCUUUGUACAAACAUAGUUCUGAAAAUACUGGACUCGAGUGUAAAAUGUGAAUAAAAAAAGAGCAAGCAGUGA